GCUGUGCCUCGGGAAAGCGAAGCCCUGUGACUGGCCUAGGGGAGACCUGGAGGGAGACUGGAGACUGCCGGGCUGCAUCAGGGCAGGCAUGCCUGCAUCAGGGUGGAGUCCGUGGAAGGCAGAGGGCAACCCCGGCCUGCGAGUGGUUUAUACUGUUCAGCUAGUCUCGGGAUUGGAACCUGUCUUGAUGUGAGGUCUAACAGCUCCUCAGCUGCGGAGGUUGUCUUUAUUCUUUGCUCGUGGUCCCUUCCCGUCAACUGUCACAUCACUCAGCUAUCUUCCUUUCUCAUCUAUGAGGACACACAUGAUUCCCGGGGAUCCACUAGCAGAGGAUAAUCUGCUGUCUCGGGUUCUUAAAGGGCACCUGCAGUGUUUGCUGA